rnacentral:antisense_RNA from 1 species
CAGAGCCCCACUUGAUGGCAGGUGCUGGACAAUAACAAUGCUGGGACCCCCGCCUCUGCUGCCACUUUCCUCACCAGCAUGGAUCCUGCCUUCUCCUUUGUGUUACUCACUAAAGGCUCAAAGUCUGGUUCAGGUAGAAACAAUUUUAUGUGUCUCAGAAAGAACAAAGAGUUUAAGAUGGUGAUGCUGAGAUUCUGGACAAGAUGGACAUGGUGAUCUCCACUGGAAUCUGGAGACUGCUGUACUACGGUCAUAUGCUACUCCUGGGGGCCUGGUGUUCCCAGGGUGCGCUGGGGGCCUUGCUGUACUGAUAUGGUCAUAUGCUACUGGGGGCCUACUGUUGCUGAGGUACAUUGUCAUCAGGCCUAAGCAUUGAAAAUGACAAAACUGUCUCCUGUUCAGAAGCACUUAGAAUCUCCUGCAUCAUGUGCCAAGUGUUUAGAGAUCCCUAGAUCAGGGACUCUGGGGACAGUUUUUAAUUUACUGCUAAGUAAAGUUUUAAAAUGUGACAUCUUUGAGUACUGCUGCCCUAGUCUAUUAAACAAAGAGAAGCAAUUCCCAGGCCAGGAUCAUCCUAUUAACCCAAACCUAAUAAUGCUGAUGUGGCCCAGGGCUGGCAGGAUGGCCUCGACUAUAACUAGGCAUCUCCUGCUUCCAUUUGCAGACACGGGGCUUUGCCCUGAUGGAGACAUAGCGACAGGUCGUUUUGUACUAUGUAGGUACGGAUCCAAAGGGCAUCUUAGGCUGGCUGUCAUCAAGUUCCAGUGAGGAACACCUGUCUUCUUCAGUACAUGUUUCUCCAGUUUGCAUGCAGCCUUAGCCCAUCAGAAGGCAGUGGAUAAGAGAUCGCCCUCGGAUGGCUUUAAGUCGGCAAACAGGGGUAGAAAAGAGGCCAAGCUGCAUGGUGGCAGGCACCUGUAAUCCCA